rnacentral:rRNA from 1 species
GGCCCACCAAGGCGACGAUCGGUAGCCGGACUGAGAGGUUGAACGGCCACAUUGGGACUGAGACACGGCCCAGACUCCUACGGGAGGCAGCAGUGGGGAAUAUUGCACAAUGGGGGAAACCCUGAUGCAGCGACGCCGCGUGGAGGAAGAAGGUCUUCGGAUUGUAAACUCCUGUUGUUGAGGAAGAUAAUGACGGUACUCAACAAGGAAGUGACGGCUAACUACGUGCCAGCAGCCGCGGUAAAACGUAGGUCACAAGCGUUGUCCGGAAUUACUGGGUGUAAAGGGAGCGCAGGCGGGAAGACAAGUUGGAAGUGAAAUCCAUGGGCUCAACCCAUGAACUGCUUUCAAAACUGUUUUUCUUGAGUAGUGCAGAGGUAGGCGGAAUUCCCGGUGUAGCGGUGGAAUGCGUAGAUAUCGGGAGGAACACCAGUGGCGAAGGCGGCCUACUGGGCACCAACUGACGCUGAGGCUCGAAAGUGUGGGUAGCAAACAGGAUUAGAUACCCUGGUAGUCCACACUGUAAACGAUGAUUACUAGGUGUUGGAGGAUUGACCCCUUCAGUGCCGCAGUUAACACAAUAAGUAAUCCACCUGGGGAGUACGACCGCAAGGUUGAAACUCAAAGGAAUUGACGGGGGCCCGCACAAGCAGUGGAGUAUGUGGUUUAAUUCGACGCAACGCGAAGAACCUUACCAAGUCUUGACAUCCUGCGACGCACAUAGAAAUAUGUGUUUCCUUCGGGACGCAGAGACAGGUGGUGCAUGGUUGUCGUCAGCUCGUGUCGUGAGAUGUUGGGUUAAGUCCCGCAACGAGCGCAACCCUUAUGGUCAGUUACUACGCAAGAGGACUCUGGCCAGACUGCCGUUGACAAAACGGAGGAAGGUGGGGAUGACGUCAAAUCAUCAUGCCCUUUAUGACUUGGGCUACACACGUACUACAAUGGCGUUAAACAAAGAGAAGCAAGACCGCGAGGUGGAGCAAAACUCAGAAACAACGUCCCAGUUCGGACUGCAGGCUGCAACUCGCCUGCACGAAGUCGGAAUUGCUAGUAAUCGCAGAUCAGCAUGCUGCGGUGAAUACGUUCCCGGGCCUUGUACACACCGCCCGUCACACCAUGAGAGCCGGGGGGACCCGAAGUCGGUAGUCUAACCGCAAGGAGGACGCCGCCGAAGGUAAAACUGGUGAUUGGGGUGAAGUCGUAACAAGGUAGCCGUAGGAGAACCUGCGGCUGGAUCACCUCCUUU